rnacentral:rRNA from 1 species
AACGAACGCUGGCGGCAUGCCUAACACAUGCAAGUCGAACGAGACCUUCGGGUCUAGUGGCGCACGGGUGCGUAACGCGUGGGAACCUGCCCUUAGGUUCGGAAUAACUCCCCGAAAGGGGUGCUAAUACCGGAUAAUGUCUUCGGACCAAAGAUUUAUCGCCUUUGGAUGGGCCCGCGUUGGAUUAGCUAGUUGGUAGGGUAAAAGCCUACCAAGGCGACGAUCCAUAGCUGGUCUGAGAGGAUGAUCAGCCACACUGGGACUGAGACACGGCCCAGACUCCUACGGGAAGCAGCAGUAGGGAAUAUUGGACAAUGGGCGAAAGCCUGAUCCAGCAAUGCCGCGUGAGUGAUGAAGGCCUUAGGGUUGUAAAGCUCUUUUACCCGGGAUGAUAAUGACAGUACCGGGAGAAUAAGCGCCGGCUAACUCCGUG